CUUAACACAUGCAAGUCGAACGGUAAGGCCCCUAUCGGGGGUACACGAGUGGCGAACGGGUGAGUAACACGUGGGUAAUCUGCCCUGCACUUCGGGAUAAGCCUGGGAAACUGGGUCUAAUACCGGAUAUGAACUCCUGCCGCAUGGUGGGGGUUGGAAAGUUUUUCGGUGCAGGAUGAGCCCGCGGCCUAUCAGCUUGUUGGUGGGGUAAUGGCCUACCAAGGCGACGACGGGUAGCCGGCCUGAGAGGGUGAUCGGCCACACUGGGACUGAGACACGGCCCAGACUCCUACGGGAGGCAGCAGUGGGGAAUAUUGCACAAUGGGCGAAAGCCUGAUGCAGCGACGCCGCGUGGGGGAUGACGGUCUUCGGAUUGUAAACCCCUUUCAGUAGGGACGAAGCGCAAGUGACGGUACCUGCAGAAGAAGCACCGGCUAACUACGUGCCAGCAGCCGCGGUAAUACGUAGGGUGCGAGCGUUGUCCGGAAUUACUGGGCGUAAAGAGCUCGUAGGCGGUUUGUCACGUCGUCUGUGAAAUCCCUCGGCUUAACCGGGGGCGUGCAGGCGAUACGGGCAGACUUGAGUACUACAGGGGAGACUGGAAUUCCUGGUGUAGCGGUGAAAUGCGCAGAUAUCAGGAGGAACACCGGUGGCGAAGGCGGGUCUCUGGGUAGUAACUGACGCUGAGGAGCGAAAGCAUGGGUAGCGAACAGGAUUAGAUACCCUGGUAGUCCAUGCCGUAAACGGUGGGCGCUAGGUGUGGGGUCCUUCCACGGACUCCGUGCCGUAGCUAACGCAUUAA
rnacentral:rRNA from 1 species